CCUACGGGAGGCAGCAGUGAGGAAUAUUGGUCAAUGGACGAGAGUCUGAACCAGCCAAGUAGCGUGAAGGAUGACUGCCCUAUGGGUUGUAAACUUCUUUUAUAUGGGAAUAAAAUGUUCCACGUGUGGGAUUUUGUAUGUACCAUAUGAAUAAGGAUCGGCUAACUCCGUGCCAGCAGCCGCGGUAAUACGGAGGAUCCGAGCGUUAUCCAGAUUUAUUGGGUUUAAAGGGAGCGUAGGUGGAUUGUUAAGUCAGUUGUGAAAGUUUGCGGCUCAACCGUAAAAUUGCAGUUGAAACUGGCAGUCUUGAGUACAGUAGAGGUGGGCGGAAUUCGUGGUGUAGCGGUGAAAUGCUUAGAUAUCACGAAGAACUCCGAUUGCGAAGGCAGUUCACUGGACUGCAACUGACACUGAGGCUCGAAAGUGUGGGUAUCAAACAGGAUUAGAUACCCCUGUAGUC
rnacentral:rRNA from 1 species